CGGCGGACGGGUGAGUAAUGCCUAGGAAUCUGCCUGGUAGUGGGGGACAACGUUUCGAAAGGAACGCUAAUACCGCAUACGUCCUACGGGAGAAAGCAGGGGACCUUCGGGCCUUGCGCUAUCAGAUGAGCCUAGGUCGGAUUAGCUAGUUGGUGAGGUAAUGGCUCACCAAGGCGACGAUCCGUAACUGGUCUGAGAGGAUGAUCAGUCACACUGGAACUGAGACACGGUCCAGACUCCUACGGGAGGCAGCAGUCG
rnacentral:rRNA from 1 species